rnacentral:rRNA from 1 species
AUUGAACGCUGGCGGCAUGCUUUACACAUGCAAGUCGAACGGUAACAGGCCGCAAGGUGCUGACGAGUGGCGAACGGGUGAGUAAUGCAUCGGAACGUGCCCAGUCGUGGGGGAUAACGCAGCGAAAGCUGUGCUAAUACCGCAUACGAUCUAUGGAUGAAAGCGGGGGACCGUAAGGCCUCGCGCGAUUGGAGCGGCCGAUGUCAGAUUAGGUAGUUGGUGGGGUAAAGGCCUACCAAGCCGACGAUCUGUAGCUGGUCUGAGAGGACGACCAGCCACACUGGGACUGCGACACGGCCCAGACUCCUACGGGAGGCAGCAGUGGGGAAUUUUGGACAAUGGGCGCAAGCCUGAUCCAGCAAUGCCGCGUGCAGGAAGAAGGCCUUCGGGUUGUAAACUGCUUUUGUACGGAACGAAACGGUCCGGGUUAAUACCCUGGGCUAAUGACGGUACCGUAAGAAUAAGCACCGGCUAACUACGUGACAGCCGCCGCAGUAACAC